AGCACACCCGAGCUGUCAAAUCCUCAUUCCCGCCCACGGCUGCGUCCCACUCAUCGCCAGCCUCUCCCAGUAACCACACACUGACCAUCGCGGGUACUCGUCGUUGCUGCUGGUUGGUGAAUGCGGCCCGUAGACGCGGAGUCUGACCCGGGGUGACUGAGUCUGAGACGGGCUUCAUUCUACUCGCUGCGUCUCCCGCGCCCACCAACUUCUGUGGGAACACGUUUCCUUCACAGCCCCCCACGCGUUCGUGUUGAAACAGCAGCCCAGCCCCAGCAUGACGUCACCUUGGGAAUAAAUGAUGCCUCCACGGACCGGGCUGAGGGCUCGGACAUCUGAGGAUUCAUGAAAUACGACUUCGGUAAGAACUCAAAUUAUGGAAAAAGUUUUUUUGAGUUUGUAUCUCAAAGCAAUGACUUUGUAGCACAAAAGAAGAUAUAAAGCAAAACUAAUGUGUAUUUUAACGAGUUAUUGACGAUGUUUCACACAAAUGUUUUGUUAAACCAGGUGAACGAGUUUGUAUUGCAAAUAAUGUAUUAGUAUCACAAAAUAAUGACUGCCAUUAAUUAAGGAAUUAUUUCAAAGAAAAAUAUGCUAUCAAGACUUCCAAUUUAAGAAGUAAAUAUACCUCUUGUAUAAGCGGAAUAAUACUUCAUUUGAAAUGUAACAAGAUUUUUUGGGAACUACUUUGCAUCGUCCUUUUCCACUUUGAUCUUUUAUGUCACUACAUUUUAUGCUUUUCCCCUCUACAAGGUUUGGUGUUAUUACAUUAGCUAAAUAAAAAUAAGGCAAACAGGA